UCAUGGUGUUCUAUGGUCGGUUAUUUCUUUAUAGCAGGCCGCUGCUAUGUAUAAAAAACUGUUGCUUUGGAUGCAGUUCUUACCUCAGACUCUGGAGGAGCAUUUUUGUAUCAAAUUAUUGAUUUCUUAAGCAAGUAGCCAUGUCAUCAGC